rnacentral:tRNA from 1 species
GUCCUUGUGGCGUAAUGGAUAGCGCAUCGGACUUCUAAUCCGGGGGUUGCGGGUUCGAGUCCCGUCAGGGACU